UACGGGAAGGCAGCAGUGGGGAAUAUUGGACAAUGGGCGAAAGCCUGAUCCAGCCAUGCCGCAUGAGUGAAGAAGGCCUUCGGGUUGUAAAGCUCUUUUAGUGAGAAAGAUAAUGACGGUACUCACAGAAGAAGUCCUGGCUAACUCCGUGCCAGCAGCCGCGGUAAUACGGAGAGGGCUAGCGUUAUUCGGAAUUACUGGGCGUAAAGGGCACGCAGGCGGUUAAUUAAGUUGGAUGUGAAAUCCCCGGGCUUACCUGGGAAUGGCAUUCAAGACUGGUUAGCUAAGAGUCUUGUAGAGGGGGUAGAAUUCCAUGUGUAGCGGUGAAAUGCGUAGAGAUGUGGAGGAAUACCGGUGGCGAAGGCGGCCCCUGGCAAAGCUGACGCUCAUGUGCGAAAGCGUGGGGAGCGAAACAGGGAUUAGAUACC
rnacentral:rRNA from 1 species